rnacentral:rRNA from 1 species
AAGACCUUGCACUUUUGGAGCGGCCGAUGUCUGAUUAGCUAGUUGGUGGGGUAAUGGCCUACCAAAGCUUCGAUCAGUAGCUGGCCUGAGAGGACGGCCAGCCACACUGGGACUGAGACACGGCCCAGACUCCUACGGGAGGCAGCAGUGGGGAAUUUUGGACAAUGGGCGCAAGCCUGAUCCAGCCAUGCCGCGUGAGUGAAGAAGGCCUUCGGGUUGUAAAGCUCUUUCAGCCGGGAAGAAAAGGUUGCGAUUAAUAAUCGCAAUUUAUGACGGUACCGGAAGAAGAAGCACCGGCUAACUACGUGCCAGCAGCCGCGGUAAUACGUAGGGUGCGAGCGUUAAUCGGAAUUACUGGGCGUAAAGGGUGCGCAGGCGGUUUUGUAAGUCAGAUGUGAAAUCCCCGGGCUUAACCUGGGAACU